rnacentral:rRNA from 1 species
CAGCAGCCGCGGUAAAACAGAGGGUGCGAGCGUUAAUCGGAUUUACUGGGCGUAAAGCGUGCGUAGGCGGCUUCUUAAGUCGGAUGUGAAAUCCCUGAGCUUAACUUAGGAAUUGCAUUCGAUACUGGGAAGCUAGAGUAUGGGAGAGGAUGGUAGAAUUCCAGGUGUAGCGGUGAAAUGCGUAGAGAUCUGGAGGAAUACCGAUGGCGAAGGCAGCCAUCUGGCCUAAUACUGACGCUGAGGUACGAAAGCAUGGGGAGCAAACAGGAUUAGAUACCCGGGUAGUCCCUGUCUCUUAUAC